rnacentral:antisense_RNA from 1 species
CUGUUCAACGAUGGCUGUCGUUGUGCACCUGAGAUCUUCGAGGUAAAACGUUUCAGACUUUAGUGUGGAAUGAAACGACUCAAUGGGGGCAUUAUCAGCGG